UAAUAAUUAAAUUUAGAAACUUAAAAGAUUUGGCGGUAAAUUAAUAAAAUUAGAGGAACUUGUAUAUUUAAAUAGAUAAUACCCAAUUUACCUUACUUUUUUUUUGUUUAUAUAUCGCUAUUUAGAUUGUCAUAAUAAUGUAAAUAAUCUGUUUUAUUAAUAACCAAAAAUAAGUCAAGGUGUAGCUUUAAAAAGUUUAUAUGAGUUACAAUUAAAAAAUUAAAGGACUAAAAAUUGAAAAAUUUUUGUGAAUUUGGAUUUAAAAGUAUUUGUAAAUUAGAAAGUUAUAAAGAAUAAUAAUUUAAUUUAUGU
rnacentral:rRNA from 1 species